UUUGUUUUAUUUUUAUUGCUAUAUUGUUUUAUCGGUUUUUCUAUGGUGUGCCCAUGGGCACAUGCUAAGCACGGAAAAUUUUGUGUUUGAAAGAUUUUGAUUGGCUUCUCUCUCUUGAUAAUGGUGGACCCCUGCAAAUACACCAACCACACCAAUCAAAAUCUCCCAAAUACAAAAAUUUCCGCGCUUAGCAUGUGCCCAUGGGCACACACUAGACAAACCGUUGUUUUAUUGCGUUACUUCUUAUUAUUGUUAUAUUUUUGGUUUAUAGUUACGUAAUAAGUAAUUGUAUGCUAAGCACGGAAAAUUUUGUGUUUGAAAGAUUUUGAUUGGCUUCUCUCUCUUGAUAAUGGUGGACCCCUGCAAAUACACCAACCACACCAAUCAAAAUCUCCCAAAUACAAAAAUUUCCGCGCUUAGCAUGUGCCCAUGGGCACACACUAGACAAACCGUUGUUUUAUUGCGUUACUUCUUAUUAUUGUUAUAUUUUUGGUUUAUAGUUACGUAAUAAGUAAUUGUAAAUUGUAAACACCGCUGCAUAUAUUUUUGUUUUUGUAAAGUUUAUCACGUUUAUAUAAAAUGAUUUUUGGGAUAUAAAUUGAUUUUUUUUUUAUGUAAUUUGGUUAAGUUCAGAAUUGUUUCGUCUUCUUUCUUCUUGCUUGCACGGUUGCACCGUCAUUUUGUUGUGCCGAGGACUGAAAAGGCAGCAAAAUGGUGUUUUGGAAGUUCUUUUCACAUCACAAGUUAGGUUCAUGGCCA
rnacentral:lncRNA from 1 species